AUGAUCAUUGCAGAAGAGGAUGCUCAAUCGACUGCAAACACUAUUUGGUUGGAACAUACAUUUUGUUGAUUCCACAGAGUCAAUAUCAAGCAAAUCAGAGGAUGUAUGGACUUACCAAGUGGUUGAGUCCGCUACAAAGGUAGUUGGUUCCUUCUUGUGUGAGAAUGGAAGCUUGUCAUCCACUUGUGGCAUGUCAAAUGACACCAAGUGAAAAUUAAUCAAAGGGACCUCUGGACUCAAUACAUAUGCAAGGCCUGUGGAGACAGGGUGCUAAGAGGAUUACAUGAAUGGGAACAACACAAAAAGAGUCGUGGUCACAGGAAACGUAUUUCUAGUCUUAAGAGCAAGGCACAAAGUAUUGGUACCUUGGACAAAAUGUUUGAUUACUAUGAAUGCAACUAGUUUUAUGUAUUGUAAUUUGCAACCUGCUCCAGUUUUGAAACAUAUUCACAGUAAUAUUACCACUGAAUGACUAAUAGCAUUUCAGUAUGUUUCUUUUUGUUUCA